rnacentral:lncRNA from 1 species
AUUAUAAGAACUAGAAAAGUAUAGGAAUUGGUCUAACGAGAAGGUAGAUAGAAUUCAAGAGCUUUAGCCAUGUCUAUGGCAUUACAAUGGGUUGUUACCUCCACCAGCUUAGAGGUCUCGAGCUCCAUGGGCUUUCUUCACUCUGUCCGAGAGGUGAGGCUCUUAGAUUCUUCCAAGUUUAUGUCCCGGGACUUUGGGUCAAUUCGAGCAAAGAGGGGUUUAAGAGUAUGAGUAAGAGAGAGAGGGGUUGAAGAUAAGGUAGGGUACUCUUUGAAUUCUUUGCCUUGAGUUUUUUACUCCGAAGGAUUAUAAGAACUAGAAAAGUAUAGGAAUUGGUCUAACAAGAAAGUAGAUAGAAUUCAAGAGCUUUAGCCAUGUCUAUAGCAUUACAAUGGGUUGUUACCUCCACCAGCUUAGAGGUCUCGAGCUCCAUGGGCUUUCUUCACUCUGUCCGAGAGGUGAGAGGUCUCGAGCUCCAUGGGCUUUCUUCACUCUGUCCGAGAGGUGAGGCUCUUAGAUUCUUCCAAGUUUAUGUCCCGGGACUUUGGGC